rnacentral:lncRNA from 1 species
UGUAGGAGAGAUCAAUCAGCUAACAAAUUCCAUGAACAUCAUAAUUUUAAUUGAGGCAAUGAGAUAUUAUUCACCACUUCAUCCUAAGGUGAAAAUAUCUUUUUUAACACUCAAAUCAUAAGGGACUAUAAUGAAUAUAAUCUAGCCCUAAUCUUUCCUUAAGUCUUUACUAGGUUCCUUGUCCUAGUUGGAACAAGAGACCACAUCAAGAUCUUUUCUAAUUUGAUAAGCUUGAACCACAUAAUUCAAGGUUGGUCAUUUAUAUUCCUUUCUAAUUUGAUAAGCUUGAACCACAUAAUUCAAGGUUGGUCAUUUACAUGCUUUCACCCAGUGUUAUUCUAGUCAUGGAUAAAUCAUCCGGAUUUAGAUCCAUGAGGAAUGACUAUCACUAAAUAAAGACACUAUACUUAUGGCUAUGGUUGGAUUCUUUAACUUAGC